GACAAUGAGUGACGCUGAGGUGCGAAAAUGUGGGGAGCGACCCGGAUUAUAUACCCGCGUAGUCCUCACCCUAAAAGAUGCAUACUUGGUGUUGGUGCGCAGGCAUCAGCGCCGGAGCAAACGCGUUAAGUAUACCUCCUGGGAAGUACGGCCGCAAGGUUGAAACUCAAAGAAAUGGACGGGGGGGCGCACAACCGGUGGAGCAUGUGGUUUAUUUUAAAGCAACGCGAAGAACCUUCCCAACUCUUGUCAUCCUUGGAAUCACUUAGAGAUGAAUGAGUGUCCUUCUGGAAGCCAAGAGACAGGUGCUGCAUGGCUGUCGUCAGCUCGUGUCGUGAGAUAUUGGGUUAAGUCCCGCAAAGAGCGCAACCCUUGUCUCUAGUUGCCAGCACUUCGGGUGGGAACUCUAGAGGGACUCCCUGUGAAACCACGAGGAAGGCGGGGAUGACGUCUAGUCAGCAUGGUCCUUUCGACCUGGGCGACACACGUGCUACAAUGGUCGGUACAAAGAGCAGCCACUCUGCGAAGAGGCGAGAAUCUCGGAAAACC
rnacentral:rRNA from 1 species